rnacentral:rRNA from 1 species
UACGAAGGGGGCUAGCGUUGCUCGGAAUCACUGGGCGUAAAGCGCACGUAGGCGGAUUGUUAAGUCAGGGGUGAAAUCCUGGAGCUCAACUCCAGAACUGCCUUUGAUACUGGCGAUCUUGAGUCCGGGAGAGGUGAGUGGAACUGCGAGUGUAGAGGUGAAAUUCGUAGAUAUUCGCAAGAACACCAGUGGCGAAGGCGGCAUCCUGGACCGACAUUGACGCUGAGGAGCGAAAGCUAGGGGAGCAAACGGG